rnacentral:rRNA from 1 species
UACGAAGGGUGCAAGCGUUACUCGGAAUUACUGGGCGUAAAGCGUGCGUAGGUGGUUCGUUAAGUCUGAUGUGAAAGCCCUGGGCUCAACCUGGGAAUGGCAUUGGAAACUGGCGACCUAGAGUGCGGUAGAGGGUAGUGGAAUUCCCGGUGUAGCAGUGAAAUGCGUAGAGAUCGGGAGGAACAUCAGUGGCGAAAGCGACUUCCUGGACCAAUACUGACGCUCAUGUGCGAAAGCGUGGGGAGCAAACAGG